rnacentral:rRNA from 1 species
UGUUGCUUGCAAGGGCGUAUGGUGGAUGCCUUGGCAGACAGGACCGAUGAAGGACGUUUGAGGCUGCGAUAUGCCUCGGGGAGCCGCCAACAGGGCUUUGAUCCGAGGAUUUCCGAAUGGGGGAACCCACCGACCGUCAUGGGUCGGUACCGGCUUCGGCCGGGGGGUACGCAGGGAAGUGAAACAUCUCAGUACCUGCAGGAAAGGAUAUUCCGUGAGUAGUGGCGAGCGAAAGCGGAUGAUGGCCAAACCUUGCGCGUGUGAUACCCGUCGGGGGUUGCGCGCGGGGUGUUGCGGGAUCGCGUGCGCCGGCUCCGACGGGCCGGCCGGCAGUUGCAGAAAACCAUGUGUCAGGGGAACCGGGUUGAAUACCGGGCCGCAGAGGGUGAGGGCCCCGUACCUGAACGCGCAUGGUCUGCCGAUCGCGUCUCCCAAGUAGCACGGGUCCCGUGGAACCCCGUGCGAAUCCGCCCAGACCGUUGGGUAAGCCUGAAUAUUCCUGUCUGACCGAUAGCGAACGAGUACCGUGAGGGAAAGGUGAAAAGUACCCCGGGAGGGGAGUGAAACAGUCUCUGAAACCGUGCGCCUACAAUCCGUCGGAGCCCUUUUGUGGGGUGACGGCGUGCCUAUCGAAAAAUGAGUCUGCGAGUCAGUGGCAUGUGGCGAGCAUAACCCGUGUGGGGUAUGCGUAGCGAAGGCGAGUCUUAAAAGGCGUUUGAGUCGCGUGUCCUGGACCCGAAGCGGGAUGAUCUAGCCCUGAGCAGGUUGAAGCGCGGGUAAGACCGCGUGGAGGACCGAACCCACCUGGGUUGAAAACCGGGGGGAUGACUUGGGGCUAGGGGUGAAAGGCCAAUCAAAUUCCGUGAUAGCUGGUUCUCUCCGAAAUGCAUUUGGGUGCAGCGUCGGGUCAUUACGUCCCGGGGGUAGAGCUACUGGAUGCUUGCGGGCCCGUAUCGGGUACCAACAGCAACCAAACUCCGAAUACCGGUGACGCGUAUCCCGGCAGUGAGUCGGCGGGGGAUAAGCUUCGUCGUCGAAAGGGAAACAGCCCAGACCGUCGUCUAAGGUCCCGAAGCGUGUGCUAAGUGGGAAAGGAUGUGGAGUCGCAUAGACAGCCAGGAGGUUGGCUCAGAAGCAGCCACCCUUGAAAGAGUGCGUAACAGCUCACUGGUCUAGUGGUUCCGCGCCGACAAUGUAGCGGGGCUCAAGCACACCACCGAAGACGCGGCAGUAUUUUGUACUGGGUAGGAGAGCGUCCCAUGAGGGGCGAAGCGGCCGUGUGAACGCGCCGUGGACUUCAUGGGAGUGAGAAUGCAGACAUGAGUAGCGAGAGACGGGUGAAGAUCCCGUCCGCUGGAUGACCAAGGGUUCCAGGGCCACGUUCAUCGUCCCUGGGUGAGUCGGGUCCUAAGGCGAGGCCGACAGGCGUAGUCGAAUGGAUGAACGGGUCGAUAUUCCCGUACCGGCUUUCAGCCGCCAAAACCGAGGCUUGGAGUACUAACCUCCGGGUCCGGGCUUACUGCUCCUUCGGGGGCGGGAUGCCCUGGCCUGUUGGGACCGAUCCUUGUAGUAGGUCAGCGCAGGAGUGACGCAGAAGGGUAGCCGGCCGCGGAGGUGGUCUUCCGUGGUCAAGCACGCAGGGCGUGGGACAGGCAAAUCCGUCCCGCAUGGGUCCGAGGUGCGAUGAUGGGGGCCUUAUGGCCCGAUAUCCGGUGAUCCCGGCUGCCGAGAAAAGCUUCGGCGUCAGGCUCAAAGCCGCCCGUACCCCAAACCGACACUGGUGGUCAGGUAGAGAAUACCAAAGCGAUCGAGCGAAUCCUGGUCAAGGAACUCGGCAAAUCACUCCCGUUCCUUCGGUUUAAGGGAGACCCCCGAUGGUGAACACACUUGCUGUGGGAGCUUUUGGGGGUGGCACAGACCAGGGGGUAGCGACUGUUUACCAAAAACACAGGUGCAUGCGAAGGCGCAAGCCGCUGUAUAUGCACUGACGCCUGCCCGGUGCCGGAAGGUUAAGAGGAUCCGUCAGCCUUCGGGUGAAGCGGUGAAUUCAAGCCCCGGUAAACGGCGGUGGUAACUAUAACCAUCCUAAGGUAGCGAAAUUCCUUGUCGGGUAAGUUCCGACCUGCACGAAUGGCGU